rnacentral:lncRNA from 1 species
CCAUUUUUCCAGCAGUUGCCUCAAGCACUUACCAACCAGCAGUCAAGUCCUGUUUCUUCAUUCCCAGUGGAUGUACUGAACCCAAACUCCACCCCCACCAUAGUGACCGACAGCAAUGGCAACCAGUUCCUGCUAACACUGUCGAAUCAAAACACAGAGGCACCUGCCAGAAGCCGCCGCGCCCAGAGCAAAAGACUGCAGUCUGCACCCACCAUGUUACACAACCAAUCAGUGACUAAAGUGCUUAACAGUAACAACCAAUCUGAACAGCCCAUACAAACUGUCAUUUUGAAACAGCCAAUCAAAAAGGCACUAAAGCCAGACCUAAAUGUGACGACCAAUUACAAAUCAUCAAGCUGUACAUCCAUCUCAUCACCAGCCAAUAUCCAACAAUUCUUCUCUCCAGUGGAAUCCAUGAACGACACCGAGCCCAUCCCCUCAUCUCCCAACAACAACAACAACGAGAAUGGCUGUCACCAGCAGGUUGACGACCUGUUUGACAUCCUAAUUCAGCGUGGAGGUGAUUUUUGAUGAUUUGAUUUAAUAUUUAUUGUCAUUCAAAGUAAUUUAGAUGAGAGAA